CUUCUCUCUUUCUCCUUGCCGUUCCCUUGCUCUCUCCCUCUCCACCAUUGUUAUCAAGCUUAAAGCUUGAUUUCCCAAGCUUUCACUCACCAAAACCCAUAGACCCCUUCACAAAAAAUUUAGCCCACACCAUAAGGAAGCUUUAGAUACCCAUAAGAAGAAGAAAGAUUAAAGUUUGAAGUGGGUCACAAGAGGUACUGGAGAUCAGUCCCAGCAGCCGCAGCAGCCGCAGUAGCAGCACCAGUAGUGCACUAACAGAGCUUUGAUUAGAUCUGCCAUUGUCCAGAGUCACCUCACCGGUCUGUUGUAUUUUGGUAGGGCCCAUGUAUAGACUAGUAUUUUGGUUCAUUAUGUUUAGUCAUGAUGUAAUUACUAGUUUAUGAUGUAUUUCAUUUUGGACUUGUAAUUAAACUUUGAGAUUGAAAUGAAAACUUGUAAUUUAUUA